rnacentral:tRNA from 1 species
UGGCACAGUGGUUAAGUGCUCGGCUGCUGACCGAAAGGUUGGUGGUUCGAACCCACC